GUGGACUGUGUCCAGAGAGGGGAGACCAGGAUGCUAACAGGGUUAAAAAACUGCUCCUUGAGAACAUGGUGGAAGAAGCAGGAGAUGUUCAGACUGAAGAAGGGAUGCACACAUGGUAACUCUAUGAGGAAACUGAAACCCAGGAGAGAUGAAGGGGCUUGUUCCAGGACACACCAGUACUAAGUGGCAGGGCCUGGAUUCUAACCCAGGUUGUCCUGACCCCAAAUGCAGUUCUCUUUUAAUGAGCAAUGUGGCUUUGGCGGCACCAAGCUGAAAGAUCAAUUAUUGAGGAUC